rnacentral:rRNA from 1 species
ACGGCUCAGUAACACGUGGACAACCUACCCUCAGAUCUGGGAUAAACCUGGGAAACUGGGUAUAAUACCGGAUAGGUCUUGGAUGCUGGAAUGCACCGAGGCCCAAAGCUCCGGCGUCUGAGGAUGGGUCUGCGGCCUAUCAGGGUAGUAGUGGGUGUAAAGUACCUACUAGCCUACGACGGGUACGGGUCGUGAGAGCGAGAGCCCGGAGAUGGAUUCUGAGACACGAAUCCAGGCCCUACGGGGUGCAGCAGGCGCGGAAACUUUACAAUGCCGGCAACGGCGAUAAGGGGACCUCGAGUGCCAGGAUACAAUCCUGGCUGUCGUAAUGCCUAAAAAGCAUUAUAUAGCAAGGGCCGGGCAAGACCGGUGCCAGCCGCCGCGGUAACACCGGCGGCUCGAGUGGUAACCGCUAUUAUUGGGUCUAAAGGGUCUGUAGCCGGCCUGGUAAGUCUUUUGGGAAAUCCGGCAGCUCAACUGUCGGGCUAUCAGAGGAUACUGCUAGGCUCGAGACCGGGAGAGGUGAGAGGUACUUCAUGGGUAGGGGUGAAAUCUUGUAAUCCUUGAAGGACCACCAGUGGCGAAGGCGUCUCACCAGAACGGAUCUGACGGCAAGGGACGAAAGCUAGGGGCACGAACCGGAUUAGAUACCCGGGUAGUCCUAGCCGUAAACGAUACUCGCUAGGUGUCGGCCACGGUGCGACCGUGGUCGGUGCCGUAGGGAAGCCGUGAAGCGAGCCACCUGGGAAGUACGGCCGCAAGGCUGAAACUUAAAGGAAUUGGCGGGGGAGCAC